rnacentral:rRNA from 1 species
AUUGAACGCUGGCGGCAGGCUUAACACAUGCAAGUCGAGCGGAGAUGAGGUGCUUGCACCUUAUCUUAGCGGCGGACGGGUGAGUAAUGCUUAGGAAUCUGCCUAUUAGUGGGGGACGACAUUCCGAAAGGAAUGCUAAUACCGCAUACGUCCUACGGGAGAAAGCAGGGGAUCUUCGGACCUUGCGCUAAUAGAUGAGCCUAAGUCGGAUUAGCUAGUUGGUGGGGUAAAGGCCUACCAAGGCGACGAUCUGUAGCGGGUCUGAGAGGAUGAUCCGCCACACUGGGACUGAGACACGGCCCAGACUCCUACGGGAGGCAGCAGUGGGGAAUAUUGGACAAUGGGGGGAACCCUGAUCCAGCCAUGCCGCGUGUGUGAAGAAGGCCUUAUGGUUGUAAAGCACUUUAAGCGAGGAGGAGGCUACUGAGACUAAUACUCUUGGACAGUGGACGUUACUCGCAGAAUGAGCACCGGCUAACUCUGUGCCAGCAGCCGCCGUAA